UAUACGGGGUGGCCUAUCGAUAUUAAUGAAUAUCGGUAUUACCCCGUAAGUAAAACUAACCAGCAGCUGAUCUGGUCAUCUUAGAUACUCAUCUCUUAGCGGCAUAUUUGUAAUGUCUUUACUGGCCAAAGUAUAUCGACGAUCGAUCAUCGAUCAAUGUGUUAAAGGGUGAAAUUAAAACAUAAGUCAUAGGUUUUUUGUGCAGUGAAUAUAUUAGCAGAUUUUUCCCGGCUUUCAUCAAGUUAGCGCCUUAGCGGCCGCCAUUUUUCCCGUCAGUACUCAUUAUAUCCCCCAAUUAUCCGUUUUUGAGGUUUGCGAAAAGCGUAUGAUAUUUUCUAAAUUUAAAUCUCGUGAUAACGGUUUUUGCUAGGGUUUGGUAUGUUAAUUUCGAUAAUUGGAUGAUUUAGUAUGUUAGUUGCAAACCUAUUUGUUUCAAUUGUUUGGUUGAUUUGUUAAGAAUUCCGAACUUCGAAAAUUUUCAAGAAUUAGGGCUUGAUUUUUCUACUGGUUAGCAGUUCCGUAAAAUUUAGUGGUUACUUGAGAUGAUCAUGUGAAUGUGUUAUUUAAUUGUUGAUUGAACUGGUAUGAUUAUUGGAUUGAUUUGGUAAUGAUUAAUGAACUGCUUAUUACUUGGUUGUUAGGUCCGAUUUGACGGUAGGUUGGCGAUUUCGUAUUGUUAGUGUGGAUUGAUUACUGGGAAAUUUGUUGUAGAUUUCGUUGUUAGAGAUGUGAAGUUGUUGUGGACUCGGAGUUACGAAUUACGAUGGUUAUUGUGAAUUUUUGAUAGGUUGGUCAAACCCUAGGUUUGAUGGUCGACCGGUUGUUUUAUAUUCUAGAUUUCUAGCACGUGAACGGAAAUGUUACCCCUUUGAAGGGUAAUAAUGUGGUUUUUCUCAUUAUAUGAUUAUGUUAGCAAACUCAAAUGAUUUUAUCCUAUCACAAGCUUGUUAAAUUUUCGACCAUGAGUCAAAAUAGCCUGCAAAAAAACCAAAGAAGGGAAAAAAAGAAAACCAAGAGCAGUUUAGCUUAGGGGGUGAUGCGUAUUUAUUAGGAAUUUUGCACAUAUUGUCACAAUGUUAAGUACGAAAUUGAGCUUUUUGAUGUUAUAUUGAUGUGUAGGAUUUUGGAUGAACAACAAGGAGAACAAUCAGAAAACUAUAAGGUCAUUAAAUUGCUUCAAUCACUCACUAAUGCUGUAAACUGGCUUAUUGCAUCAGAAUUUGUGGCACAUUCUUCUUCCUUAAAGACACACAAAUUUAGUGGGAGAAAGGGGAAUUAAUUUAUUGAGAUAAUAUGAAUUAAGCAACUUGUGAAUUUGAUCCUGAAAUUUACAUGUAUCAUCAUCCCCCUUUCAUUCCCUUCAUGUGUAUAAUUUUUUUUCCCCCCUUGAUGUUGUGGUUUUAUCUCUGAUUGUUUCCGAUAAUGUACUGCUUCAAUGAUCAGUGCUUAAGAUAUUUAUCCACUUUUCCUACCCGUUGAUUGGUUUACAUCUUACGGAAUGUUGCACUAAGAAUGCAGCUCAGCACAAAUCUAUAUCUCGGAAGACCUCCUAGUCUAAGCCUGUUGACACUUGACAGUGCUUUAACUUUUGAUCCAGACAAGAUAAGGGUGAUUUCGAGUUUAAUCGUAAGAUUCUGAAAGCAUAUGUAGAAUUCGCUUCUGCUGAAAGGGAUUCAGAGCUGAAGUUUUCGUAGGAAGUUGAAUACAGUGCGCACCUGAUGAGAAAUCUGAUAUCUCAAGUUCAGUUGAUUUUUUGGUCACUAAUAGCAGUAAAGGCUCAAAACAAGAACUGCAGUACACUGAAUUCAAUUGCAGUUGACGUUUCAGCUGAUAUGUUUGUCUCAAAUGUGAAAAGUUUGGUGGAAUACAUUUGGUCGUGUUUAUAGUUGAAGGCUACCAUUCGUUCCCAAACUGCCACUUCCUGCCCUCUCUCAAGGAUAUGGUCUGUGCAAGGACAGUGAUGAAGAAGGCACAGGGGCAACUUCAUGCAUGCAGGGUUUUCUUUUCAAUCUCGGGGAGGAUGGAUAUGGUGUUAGUGUUGCUCGAGAGUCUCAAAAUAACAAUGCCACAUUUUGAAAGUUUUGAGGGGUGCGGCCAUGAGGCUGUUCACUUAAUUCCCUCUGAAGAUCCCAGUUCGGCGGGACAUGUCUGGCUGUUGCUUUAUUGUAUGCCUUUAGUUACAGCAUUACAGGAAUUCUUGCAUAAACGACGUCAUUUUGCAUCAAACUUUCAACCCUAAACAAAAGAGAGGAAAAAUUAAACGAGUAAAAAGAUUCAUCAAUGGAGUUAGGCAUAGUUAUCAAGAAUGCUUGUAUUAAGAGAUGACCGUGUCAGAGUCUUAACCUCGAUAGGAUGGGGUCAUCUGCAAAAACCGAAUAUUUUAUUUCCAAUGGUCAUCGACAAAGAUUUCAACUCAUGCUGACAUUUAAUUUUCUGCUAGCUUACUGUUUGACAUUUUUGAUAUCAUACUAAUAUAGACUUACUAAAACUUUUACUUCACGAUAUUUAGUAUUAUUAGUUUUAAAAGGAAGCUCAAAACUUAAUGGGCAUAUACUUAUUAGAAUAAGACUUCACUUGUGGGCAUCUAUGAUGCGGGGUUCUGUACUUCUGUAAACUCUACCACUUAGCUUUCCAACUAAGUGAGUAAGUAGGCUAUUAUUAUGUUAUGAAAACAAAAACGUUUGCCUCAAGUUAUGUAUUAAGGGCAUGCGAAUGGUCUUGGGAUUUUCUCAUUUAAUGGUCAUUGCUACUUAUGUGGAACUAUAUGUAUGAUGCUGAUCACUGAGAUUGAAUUGAUGUUAAGUUCUAUGUACAUUAUUGAUGGGAAUGUGGGAAUGUUGCUCUUGAGCCUCUUGGAAUCUGCUUGUUAGAGUAGCAGAAUCUCAUUGGAGUUUUAGUGGUAAUUUUGGGCUUCUGUUCCUUAUCUAGGACGUUAAUGCUUGGUAAAUGUGCGCAGAGGUGUUUUGAAGAGAAUUAUUGAUGUUUUUUUUUCUUUUUAACCAUCAAAACUAACUUCUACAGUGUUAGGCAUUGCUUCUUUUCCAUAUUGACCAAUUAGGUUGGAAGGUUUUUAACUCUCAGGGUAGAAAUGAAGAAUACUUUCUAGAUUUUUUUCUCCCAGGUUUGGAACAGGGUUGGUAUGACUUGGCUGGCUCACUCCAGAAUAUUACAGCAGAAGUCUAGUGUGUGCCUUAGAAUCGAUAUUGAAGGGUUGAAAUUAGAGUAACUGGAUCACAAUGAGGAUCACUCUCUUUCCUCUUUUUUGCCAAGUCAUCUACCAUUAGGACAUCUUUCAUUGUCUCAUUUCUGCUUUCAAGCCCUGGUUGAUAUUUUUGUGAGGCAGUAAGGUUUCAGCUAUUGCAAUUGGUGUAAGUUUUAAAGAUAGCGAAUCAGGGUAGAGUUUAUUGAAUAGUUACCAAGACAGUGAUGAAGAUAUAUAUUUCUAAGCCUUUGUUAGGUAAAAAAGAAUUGGAAGGAAAAAAAGAGAAAGGAAGAGAAAAAAAUAUGGGUUCCUGUGUUUGCUUGGAAAAAACAUACUCCCUCCGUCCCUUAAUACUCGCACCGGUAAACCGGUGCGGAGUUUAAGACAUUUGAAUUGACUUAUUAAUUUAAUGGGUGUUAGUUGAUAGUGGGGUAUUUUUUAAUAUAGUUAGUGGAAAAUGUGUAAGAGGUGGAGAGUGGUGAGUGGGGGUGUGAAUUUUUAAAUGAUUUUUUGUAGGGAAUAUGGGUGUAGGUGGGGUUAAUAAGUAAGUGUGAGAAAUAAUAUAAUAUUGGUAUAAAUUUCCAUUUAUAGAAGCGGUGCAAGUAUUAAGGGACGGCCCGAAAAGGAAACCGGUGCAAGUAUUAAGGGACGGGGGGAGUAUGAGACUUAAUGGGAAAUGGAAGGAAAAUAUCAUUAAUAAAUCUUCACUUUUCUUUUCUACCAAAAGUAGGGAGGUUUGGAAGGAAAGAGAAAAACAAAACCUGUUUAAUAAUUUUCCUUUCCUUUCCACUCACUUCCUUUCAUUUAAACCAAAAAAUGAAAAAUAAAUUAAGUUUCUUUUCCUUUCUUUUUCUUUCUCUUCCCUUAAAUUUUCCCUUUCUUAAUUCCCUUCCUUUAUUGCCUAUUUGGUUCAUUAUUAGUAAAGGAAAGGAAGAGAAAAGAAAGGAAGAGAAAAGAAAGGAAAAGAAGGGAAGGGAAAGAUAUUUUAUUUUCAUGUGUUUGGUUUAAGAGAAAGAAAUGAAGGGAAGAGAAAAGAAAUAUAAAUGACAGCUUUUUUAUUUUCUCUUUCCUUCCGAAUUCCUCCAAUUUUGGGAGGAAAGUAAAGUGAAAAUUGUACAAAGGAGUUUUCCUUCCAAUUCCCUUCCUUUCCUUCCAUUUCCCACAUAAUUAUUUGUACCAAAUACAAGAAACAUUAUUUUACUUUUCCUUUCUUUUCUUUUCCUUCCAAUUCCUCCCAACCAAAUAAAGCCUUAGUAAUGUCGUACCAAACAAAAUGUAAAAGGAAAAAUAACUAAUUAACCAAUUAGAUAUUAUUAAAUUGUGCAUUUUAAAAUGACAAUCAUGUAUCACAUGCAUAUAAAAGUAGUUUUCUAAUAUUUUAGCCAAAAAGCACUCGUUUUUAUAAAAGCAUCACGUCGGAAUUUUCCUAUUCCUAAUAUUGCAGAUGGAGUAAGUUUUUAGAGCGGACCAUUUGGCUAUUGUCCCACACGUAGGGUCCAAUUCGGACAAACAAGUCGGUUUGCAUUGGGUUCAUCGAUUCGGGUUGAAACGGGUACAUUUGGCUAUCGGGUCGAGUCGGGUGGGUUUGGGUUGAGUAAUUAACGAUUCGGGUUGGUAUUAAUCCACUUCGUAUUAAUAAAACAUUUAUUGUUUAAUUAAUAACUAAUAGCGUAGUAAUUAAUAAUCUAUAACGAUGAACUAAUAUUUAAUAAUUUUGUAAAGUUUGUAAAUUCAAGUCUAUCAUAUAUUCGUACUAGUCUUAUAUGCACGCUAUGCAUGCGAUAUUAUAUAAAAAAAAUUAAAGAUUGUGUUAUGACAACUAAUCACAAUAAAUAAUAUGCUAGAAAAAUUGUUCAAAUAGUUCAUAUGAAGAAAUAUUAGAUAUAAUAUCUAAUUACAAGCAUUUACACAGCUAAACAAUGUAAUACACGUAUAUUGUAUGACGAAAAAUCUAAAUUGUAGUACUAAAGUAAAGAAAAUUAACAUAUAAAUAGUGCGUUUCUUAGAUAAAUUGGAAAAAAGAAUAUUGGAAAUAGAUUCACUUUUUCAUAGAGAAAUUGUAAAAAAUAAAAAAUAAAAAAAUAAUAAUAAUCGGAAAUUAGGUUUUGAUAGCGAGUACAAAAAGAAUGUCGUUGAGUGGAUUAUUUGGACUACAACAUUGAGCGUCGUUCCACCAUUUGGACUGCAACAUAGUGUUUUUUUUUUAAUUUGUAAUGAAUUAAAAUGGAGAGAAUUAAGGGGUGGUGAAUUAAAAUGGAGAGCAUUAAGGGGUGAUAAAUGGAGAGAAUAAAUGAUUUUGUCAUUUUUACCCAAGUUAUUAGCAAUGUAACAUUAACAAACAUACAUUAUGGAGGUGAAAAUUAAGGGGUAAUUGAUUGACUUUUUGACUUUUUUAAUUUCUUUUUAUUUUUUAUUCGUGUGUUAUUACGGAGGGUUAGUUUGCUGUAAAUAAGUACUUCCUCCGUUUAGAAAUAGUUGCAUCACUUUCACUUUAUGCACUAUUCAUAUAUUAACUUUGACUCUCUUUUUACACAUAUAUAAAAUAUAAAUGUUAUUGUAUAAAAAAAAUGGUUGGAUUAGUCUUAAUGUAUACUUUUCAAAUUAUCAAAAAAUAAUUAAUUUUACUAAUGGAUAAUUAGAGAUAUUAACGGUCAAAGUUGUGCGUUGGAAAACGUGAAAGUCAAAGUGAUGCAACUAUUUCUAAACGGAGGAAGUAUUUGGUAAAAAAAAAUAUUUUUUUAAUUCAUGGCUUUGAUUUUGGUGGGUUAAGUUAGCUGUAAUUAAGUACUUGGUAAAAAAAAAAUUCUUUUUAAAAUUUUGAAUUUUUGCCAGUUGUUAGUUGUUGUUUCAUUAGUGGCGUAAUUUGUGGUAGAGCCUACGUAAUCUUUACUGUGAUUAAGUUAUUUUUUUGUAUUUUUUCGAACUUUUUUCCUUUAUGACAUUAUUUAUUGUGGCUAUUGACUGAUUUUCUUUUUUCCCUUGUUUAUUGUAUUUAAUACUUAUCUUUAUUAUAUAAGCCAGCUCCUGAGGUCAUUUGAGUAACUUAACUUUUCGUGUCCACUUGCAAAAAUACAAAAAUACCCUCCCCCGUUCAACAGCUAAUCUCAAUUAUAAGGCUACUUUUAUUCAGUAACGUUCCUCCCUUCCUGCUCUCAUGCCUCCCGUCAUUCUCUUCUCUCUCCUCCCUCAAAUCCUCCCGAAAAAACCCAAAAAGUCAAAAAAAAAAAAUCAAGAUCUAACUGAAAAAUUCAAGACCUAAUCUAUGCAAAUCGAGAUCUUCUUCAUGACCCAUGCUCCGACAAUUCUGAUUCGCGAGACGUGGUCGGAAAAUCUUCCGGUUGUUUGACGCCUCUGCUACCAUGACGUCUACAAAAAUUUGCUACAUCCACCGCCGAUUCAGAAGAAAAGUCACACAGAGGAAGAGAGAGAAUUCGAGGACAUCCUCCCAUUUCUUUGACAACCAAUUAACAAGAAAUAUCCCAGCAAUUAUUAUACGCAUUCACAAAAUUCAAUCGAAAACCAAAAUUUCCCCAAAAUAUAGUAGUUUUCUUUGAAUUUUUACCCUGGAAUUUGUGCAUUUCGUCCAAUUUCUGAUCUGGGUUCCCCAAAUUUUGUCUACUUUUGUGGGAUUUGAAGUUUAUUGGGUAUUCCAAGCUAGGUUACAAAAUUUCUGAUUUGAUUCAUGAUGAUGUGGAGGGACCCUGGACAACCGGCAGAUUCUUAUUAUGAAGUCAGACCUGAUAUUACCGAUGCUCCAAAGACCAAGUUCAGGAUCAAGGUUUGUUGGGUUUUUUUUAUUUUUUCGCAUUUAUUUUCAGCUAUUAGCUAUUGAAAAUGUUGAUUUUGUCUAAUGAAUUUUAUUUUGUACUUAUAUUAUACGACCUGCAAUUGCAAUGGUUGCAUAAAGUUGUGAGGAAAAUGGUGAAUGUUGCCUAUGUCUUGCUCAAUUGACGUAUUAGCUUAUGAGUCGGUUUUCGAUUUGUUGGAUUUCGGAAGUGAUGCUGCAACAAACUAGGGUUGCUACUCCCUUUACCAUCUUUCUCUUGCUUCUCUUGAGCCACCGAAAGAGUAACAACAAAAAUACAUGUGUUUGCAUUUGGUGUAGUACUAAUGGAGAUAAUAACCGGGAGAAAAGCCUUAGACGAAAGCCUAGCAGAAGAUCAAGCACAAUUAGCAUCCUGGUUCAGAAGAGUGCUCAUCACCAAAGAAAGCAUAAGAAAGGCCAUAGACCCUAACCGUGAUAGUGAUAUAGUGGAAACUUUCGAAAGCAUUUGCAAAGUGGAUGAGCUCUCAUGGCACUACACAGCUUGAGAGCCACAUCAGCGUCCUGAAAUGAGUCACGCAGUUAACAUCUUGUUGCUCUGGUGGAGCAAUGGAGGCCUGCAGAGCUGGAAACAACAAUGAUUGUGUUGGGAAAAAUAUCGACACGAGUCUUCCUCAAGCUCUUCAGAGAUGGCAAGCUGGUGAGACUACGACUAUGAGUGAAUAUAGUAGUGUUAUGGAUGAUGAUAAUAGCAGACAUUAUCACUCUAGCUCCUACUACACCUACUAUGGGGGAAAGCUUUACCAACUUCAAUGGUCAAUGAUGUUAAAUUCUUAUAAUUGUUAAGAUUCAUGAACCUUAUAAAUGGGAGGGGGUUGGUGAUGACUGAUGAGUGAACUCCUUCUCUCGAGGCCGAGCAAAAAUCGUUAAAUCUCAAGGGGGCAUGCUAAACUUAAUUUUGAGAUGGCUGUUUUUGAGAUGGGGCAGAGUAUUACCACUUGAGAUUUAGAGGUUGUUUUAGCAGAUCAUGUGUGAGAAAUGUUUCUGUUUUACUUUUGGAUUAUAGAUGUACACUUACAAUUUUUAGUUUUUAUAUAAUCUCGCACGCAUCGCGUGCAUAUAAGAUUAGUUGUUAAUAUAA